CUUCCCGUGGUCAAGCGGUCUACGACGCCGCCCUGUAGAGGCGGAGACGCACGUUCGACUCGUGCCGGGAAGA
rnacentral:tRNA from 1 species